UACGUAGGGCGCAAGCGUUGUCCGGAUUUAUUGGGCGUAAAGAGCUCGUAGGCGGUCUGUCGCGUCGGAUGUGAAAACCCGGAACUCAACUCCGGGCCUGCAUUCGAUACGGGCAGACUUGAGUACUGCAGGGGAGACUGGAAUUCCUGGUGUAGCGGUGGAAUGCGCAGAUAUCAGGAGGAACACCAAUAGCGAAGGCAGCUCGCUGGGACGGUACUGACGCUAAGGCGCGAAAGCGUGGGGAGCGAACAGG
rnacentral:rRNA from 1 species